CGAACGCUGGCGGCGUGCCUAAUACAUGCAAGUUGAGCGCUGAAGGUUGGUACUUGUACCGACUGGAUGAGCAGCGAACGGGUGAGUAACGCGUGGGGAAUCUGCCUUUGAGCGGGGGACAACAUUUGGAAACGAAUGCUAAUACCGCAUAAAAACUUUAAACACAAGUUUUAAGUUUGAAAGAUGCAAUUGCAUCACUCAAAGAUGAUCCCGCGUUGUAUUAGCUAGUUGGUGAGGUAAAGGCUCACCAAGGCGAUGAUACAUAGCCGACCUGAGAGGGUGCUCGGCCACAUUGGGACUGAGACACGGCCCAAAAUCCUACGGGAGGCAGCAGUAGGGAAUCUUCGGCAAUGGACGAAAGUCUGACCGAGCAACGCCGCGUGAGUGAAGAAUGUUUUCGGAUCGUAAAACUCUGUUGGUAGAGAAGAACGUUGGUGAGAGUGGAAAGCUCAUCAAGUGACGGUAACUACCCAGAAAGGGACGGCUAACUACGUG
rnacentral:rRNA from 1 species